rnacentral:rRNA from 1 species
ACGGCGAGUGAAGCGGCAAAAGCUCAAAUUUUAAAGCUGGCAUCUUCGGUGUCCGCGUUGUAAUUUUGUGAGGCAUCUCCGGGCAGGGCGCCGGCCUAAGUUCCUUGGAACAGGACGUCACAGAGGGUGAGAAUCCCGUGCUUGGCUGGCUGUCCCCGUCCAUGUGAGGUGUCUUCGACGAGUCGAGUUGUUUGGGAAUGCAGCUCAAAAUGGGUGGUAAAUUUCAUCUAAAGCUAAAUAUUGGUGGGAGACCGAUAGCGCACAAGUAGAGUGAUCGAAAGAUGAAAAGCACUUUGAAAAUAGAGUUAAAAAGUACGUGAAAUUGUUGAAAGGGAAGCGCUUGAGACCAGACUUCGGUAGGGGGUGAUCAGCCGUCCUUCUGGGCGGUGCACUUGCCCCCCUCCGGGCCAGCAUCGGUUGAGGCGGCGGGAUAAAGGUCCCGGGAAUGUGGCUCCUUCACGGGAGUGUUAUAGCCCGGGUGAAUGCCGCCAGCUUCGACCGAGGACCGCGCCCGCAAGGGUUAGGAUGCUUG